rnacentral:snRNA from 1 species
GUGCUCCCUUCAGCAGCACAUAAACUAAAAUUCAAACAAUAAGAAGAAGAUUAGCAUGGCCCCCUGGCAAGGAUGACACGCAAAUUCAUGAAGGAAAAGUAGUAAAU